UAUUGAUGGUGAGGACAAUCCCGAAGAAGAACCUUGAAGCGCUCCCAAGCAUAAUAUAAAUUUUUGUCUGGCUUCUAUUUAAAGCACACAAUCUCACUGCAAAGU